ACCAACUCUAGCCCUAACAAACUUUAAUACAACUAUACUAAUACACUUAAAUUAAACCAUUUAAUCUAAUCAAAAGUAUUGGAGAAAGAAAUUAACCUUAGGAGCUAUAGAAGAAGUACCGCAAGGGAAAGAUGAAAG
rnacentral:rRNA from 1 species